rnacentral:rRNA from 1 species
GACGAACGCUGGCGGCGUGCCUAAUACAUGCAAGUUGAGCGCUGAAGGUUGGUACUUGUACCAACUGGAUGAGCAGCGAACGGGUGAGUAACGCGUGGGGAAUCUGCCUUUGAGCGGGGGACAACAUUUGGAAACGAAUGCUAAUACCGCAUAAAAACUUUAAACACAAGUUUUAAGUUUGAAAGAUGCAAUUGCAUCACUCAAAGAUGAUCCCGCGUUGUAUUAGCUAGUUGGUGAGGUAAAGGCUCACCAAGGCGAUGAUACAUAGCCGACCUGAGAGGGUGAUCGGCCACAUUGGGACGGAGACACGGCCCAAACGCCUACGGGAGGCAGCAGUAGGGAAUCGUCGGCAAUGGACGAAAGUCUGACCGAGCAACGCCGCGUGAGUGAAGAAGGUUGUCGGAUCGUAAAACUCGGUUGGUAGAGAAGAACGUUGGUGAGAGUGGAAAGCUCAUCAAGUGACGGUAACUACACAGAAAGGGACGGCUAACUACGUG